GUUAUAAUAAUAUUAAUUAAAACGUUCGACCCGGAUACAAUAUAUUCGUUAUUUGCGAUAUACCGCGCGUGUAAAUUAACUCAUUGUCGCCAUUAGAUUGUUAUUGUUCGUACGGUCAAUCGAGAUUUCAAACGCAUUAUGCAAACGGUUUCGAACGAUUUCAUUGAGACGCUCGUUCGUAACGGCCGGUGUCCAAAAACAAAUUUUCAAAACACCUACACAAUCGCUGUAUAGUUAACAACAAACGAACAUAAUAGAUACGCGUAACAAUUUAAGGGUAAAGAUAAAAAUAAAUACAAGAUAAUCUCGUCUGUUAGUCCGUUAGCACCUACGUCGUAGAACUACGCGCCGGAAAAGGCGAAGCCGCCAGUCUCGGUGUACGUCUAAAUUUCGUAUAAACGUUGCGUGUGUCGAUAACUAUAAUUUAUUAAUCCACGCCAAUUCGAUUAUUCAUUUUAGAUAACGUAUCAGAUGACUCGUUUAUUUCGAUAAGAUAAAACACAAUACAAUUUACAGUUGUAAAAAUAUAGAAAACGGUAUAGGUUUCUAUGCAUUUAGAUUCCGAUCGUAACGGGGAAUUUAUCGGUUUUACUGUGGUUUUUUAGUGAGCGGAACGAAGAAGCUAUUAUGGUUUUACAAAGAUGUUUAUUUUUUUAUAUUUUUUUUUUUUUUUUAUCUGCACGCAACUUUUCUACAAGCAAUUUGAUUCCGAUUAAUAAUGACAGCAAUGUUUCUAAAAGGAAAUUUAACUGGUGAGGUACUUUGAUGAGGUCAUUUUUCGUUUUUCCCAAGAGUGUUCCUAACAAAUUUGAAAAACCGGGGAGGGGGGGAGGAAAUGAGAACCGUAAAAAACAUUAAACAAAUAUUGUUAAAGAAAAUGCAUAAAGCCUAUUUAAUUAUUUUACUGUUAUAUGAUAUAUUUAUAUAUUGUUGACAAAGCGUCACUAUCAACUGGACUCCGGUCAGAAUCGUUUUUCGUUAGCAAUGGUUUAUCGUCGCUUACAGACAUGCAUUAAAUUACCCAUAACAGUGGCUGCACGCGUCCCAAUUAUCCUAGGAUGUCUUUUUAAAUCAACAAUUACAUUUUUAAAUUAAUGAAAUAUUUCUAUUUGUACGCAACGGGUGCUUUUUGUAAUCGAUCUGUAUCGAAUCUCUCUAUCUGUGCCGAAUCAGUUUUGAACGGACUCGUCUCGAGUGUUGUUUUACGCGACCAACGAGCGAUCCGUCGCGUCCGGAUAUAAAACAACGACGUUAAACAUAACACCGCGCGCCCCGUCAUCCCCACUUCCCGCCGUAAACGGCGGCAAACCCGUCGACAGUAUCAGCUUUUCACGGAUUUUUUUUUUCUUUUUUUUAAAGUGUCGAAACGGUCGGCGUCAUUUUUCACGGAUAUUAUCACGGCGGUGGGCGUUAUAAUAUCAUACCUAUUUU